UGACGAACCAUGAUGUUCAUUUAUUUGGUGUUGUGGGGAAUCAGGACUGUUACUUUGAAAAAAUUAGAGUCGUUUAAAGCAGGCUCACGCUUGAAUACAUUAGCAUGGAAUAAUGAAAUAGGACGUUUGAUUCUAUUUUGUUGGUUUCUAGGAUCGACGUAAUGAUUAAUAGGGAUAGUUGGGGGCAUUAGUAUUCAAUUGUCAGAGGUGAAAUUCUUGGAUUUAUUGAAGACUAACUACUGCGAAAGCAUUUGCCAAGGAUGUUUUCAUUAAUCAAGAACGAAAGUUAGGGGAUCGAAGACGAUCAGAUACUGUCGUAGUCUUAACCAUAAACUAUGCCGACUAGGGAUCGGAUGAUGUUAAUUUUUUAAUGACUCAUUCGGCGCCUUACG
rnacentral:rRNA from 1 species